rnacentral:rRNA from 1 species
AGAGCGAACGCUGGCGGCAGGCCUAACACAUGCAAGUCGAGCGCGUGUAGCAAUACACGAGCGGCAGACGGGAGAGUAACACGUGGGAACGCGCCCUUCGGUUCGGAAUAACUCAGGGAAACUUGAGCUAAUACCGGAUACGCCCUUACGGGGAAAGAUUUAUUGCCGAAGGAACGGCCCGCGUCCGAUUAGCUAGUUGGUGAGGUAACGGCUCACCAAGGCGACGAUCGGUAGCUGGUCUGAGAGGAUGACCAGCCUCACUGGGACUGAGACACGGCCCAGACUCCUACGGGAGGCAGCAGUGGGGAAUCUUGCGCAAUGGGCGAAAGCCUGACGCAGCCAUGCCGCGUGAAUGAUGAAGGUCUUAGGAUUGUAAAAUUCUUUCACCGGGGACGAUAAUGACGGUACCCGGAGAAGAGCCCGGCUAACUUCGCGCCAGCAGCCGC